rnacentral:lncRNA from 1 species
GUUGCGGUGCGGUGUGAGAAGAGCAUCAGCAUUCAUGUGAUCAACAGGGCCAUGAGCGUUCGAGAAUAAAAAAACCACAUUCAAGCGCAACAGCAAUCCAGUGCAGCAGGUAGAAUAUAGAAGAGAACAAGAGACAGUCCGUGCUUUGGGCAGCCUGGAACCCACAUGCAAGGUAGAGAGUGAGGAAGGAGAGAUGCAGCAGGCUGGUGCCUCCAAGUUCAUUAAAUUGCCCUGGCAGUUUUUCAGAGCUCCAGCAAGAUCAGCGCUGUCUCUCAGCAUCUCCAGCCAACAGCAGUUGCUUCUCUGUCCAAAGCAUCCCACGACACUGCGAUUCAGAGUCCUAACUCUUCCCCAGCACACAAUGGGGC